ensembl:lncRNA
AAAAAAAAAACUGAUCCUGGAUCCCACCUGCAGAGAUUCCAAUUUAAUUGGCAGGAGGUGUGGCCUAAGCGCAGGAGAUUUUUUAAUGCUCUCUAGGUGAUUCUAAUGUCAGCAAAGAUGGAGAACCACUGAUGUAGUCAGUGAGAAGUAAUAGGGGCUAUUUUUCAGAACAGCGUUUUGAGUUAAUUUGAAAGGAGGGAAAAUCUCAGGGCGAAGGUUAUUGUGGUGAGGUUAUAAGGUGAGGUCAAAGGUUAGCAAGGAGGUCUGGGUGGGCAUGGGGUCAGUUACACAGUAUGCUCUUAAAUGAUAGCGGGUAAAGUGAGCUGAACUUAAUCUGAAAAAAAAGCAAAAAAAGGAGUUCUGGCAUCCUAAGGUGGUGUUCAGCAAAGGGCAGUGUCAGGACAGUACCUCAGCUGAAGACCUUCAGGUCCAUGGAAGACAGUGCAUGGAUUAUUCUGAAGAAUGACUUUCCGACAAUCUGCCCCCAGCUGUGUGUUGCAAUGCACGUGGCGGAGCUGCGCUUCCAAAGAGGCUGGCUCAGUGGGGCUGCGGUGAUGUCUCCUUCCAGGUCCCAGCAUGGAUGACCCUGUUCUUCUUGGAAGAAUCUGUCUUAUUCCAGAAAGCCAAGACUGUAUUUCCUCACCUAUGUUCAGCCUGGCAUGUUCAAUGAGAUGUAAGACUACCCUGCUGCAAGACACACAGUCUGCUGACAUUUUCCUGAUUCCUCCUGCCUAAAACUUGGAGGUGAUGGCUAGAGUUUCAACAGCCAUUUUGGACCAGGAGGUGUCCUUGAGGAUAGACAUCACGUGCUGAGGAUGACAAAGCAGGAAGGUAGACAUCCCUAUCAAUCGUGGAAUCAACAUGCUUGCUUUGGGUUGCGUAGAACCAGAGACAAAUUAGCCUUUACUGUAUUUAUUGUAUUUUUAUUGUAAAGCACUGUUAUUUAGGUUUUCCAUUCUAUGAAAUGAAACUAAUCCUAACAGAUGCACCAAGACAUAUUUCAAAUUGUGCUUCCCGGUGUUAAUUUCUAACUGCCUGCUGCAUCAAUGAAUAAUUUCCUGCAUUAAGCGCUGUUUCCCUUCCACACCCCGUUCCCCAGGGAAUCAUGUUCCCUCCCGGUCUGACUCAAGUCCUAAGUCCCAGUGACCUUUUCCAGACCCACCCAGCCUCUCCCUGUCCAAAUCUAGCAAUCAAUACCGUAGCCACACAUCUGGCCCUGUAUUCUUUCAGCACCAUUCAAAAUAGUAUUAGGAAUGUUUUUUACCAACGACUGUUUCGGGAGAAGCAUGGUUUAUUGUAAAAAGCGUUGACCCUGUAGAAGAAUAAGGGAGUGGCUGUGCCCUUUGCAAGCUGCAAGGUUGUAAGAGGAGCACCAGGAGGUGAUCUCUUCCUUGACGUGAGCCUGAGACCCCCUGACUCGGCCGGUAAUGACUUUUCCAUUUUAUAGGAAGCAGAUGGGAUUUUAAUGGACUGUGACUAUUGUCUAUUUUCUUUAAACAACAUACACCGAGAUCGAUGCGCCCCUUCCAGGCAACAGGAGGCGUAGUCACGAAAAAGAAGGUGACGUUUGUGAAUUCCUACUUAAACUCUUUCCUUUAGAAACCAUGUUUCUUUGCUUUUUUUAUUCCCCCCAAAUAAAAAAAGGAGACUCCAGCCCUUCUGUUUUCUAGA